AGCGAACGCUGGCGGCAGGCUUAACACAUGCAAGUCGAGCGGGCGUAGCAAUACGUCAGCGGCAGACGGGUGAGUAACGCGUGGGAACAUACCUUUUGGUUCGGAACAACACAGGGAAACUUGUGCUAAUACCGGAUAAGCCCUUACGGGGAAAGAUUUAUCGCCGAAAGAUUGGCCCGCGUCUGAUUAGCUAGUUGGUGAGGUAAUGGCUCACCAAGGCGACGAUCAGUAGCUGGUCUGAGAGGAUGAUCAGCCACAUUGGGACUGAGACACGGCCCAAACUCCUACGGGAGGCAGCAGUGGGGAAUAUUGGACAAUGGGCGCAAGCCUGAUCCAGCCAUGCCGCGUGAGUGAUGAAGGCCCUAGGGUUGUAAAGCUCUUUUGUGCGGGAAGAUAAUGACGGUACC
rnacentral:rRNA from 1 species